GAGACCCACGCCAACAGUUGCCAGCACGUUCUCCGGAAUGGUGGGGACACUGCUGGGACCGCCUCUGCUAAAGAGGAGGAAGGAAUGGGCAACGGUAGGUCAGCAUGCCCCGAAUUACCCGGGCUACACGCGGGCUACAAUGGACAGGACAAUGGGAAUCGACACCGAGAGGUGAAGGCAAUCCCCUAAACCUGCCCUUAGUUCGGAUUGUGGGCUGCAACUCGCCCACAUGAAGCUGGAAUCCGUAGUAAUCGCGGAUCAACAUUCCGCGGUGAAUAU
rnacentral:rRNA from 1 species